CAUGCAAGUCGAGGGGCAGCGGAGAGGUAGCAAUACCUUUGCCGGCGACCGGCGCACGGGUGAGUAACACGUAUGCAAUCCACCUGUAACAGGGGGAUAACCCGGAGAAAUCCGGACUAAUACCCCAUAAUAUGGGUUCUCCGCAUGGAGGGUCCAUUAAAGAGAGCAAUUUUGGUUACAGACGAGCAUGCGCUCCAUUAGCCAGUUGGCGGGGUAACGGCCCACCAAAGCGACGAUGGAUAGGGGUUCUGAGAGGAAGGUCCCCCACAUUGGAACUGAGACACGGUCCAAACUCCUACGGGAGGCAGCAGUGAGGAAUAUUGGUCAAUGGUCGGCAGACUGAACCAGCCAAGUCGCGUGAGGGAAGACGGCCCUACGGGUUGUAAACCUCUUUUGUCGGAGAGUAAAGUACGCUACGUGUAGCGUAUUGCAAGUAUCCGAAGAAAAAGCAUCGGCUAACUCCGUGCCAGCAGCCGCGGUAAUACGGAGGAUGCAAGCGUUAUCCGGAUUUAUUGGGUUUAAAGGGUGCGUAGGCGGCACGCCAAGUCAGCGGUGAAAUUUCCGGGCUCAACCCGGACUGUGCCGUUGAAACUGGCGAGCUAGAGUGCACAAGAGGCAGGCGGAAUGCGUGGUGUAGCGGUGAAAUGCAUAGAUAUCACGCAGAACCCCGAUUGCGAAGGCAGCCUGCUAGGGUGCGACAGACGCUGAGGCACGAAAGCGUGGGUAUCGAACAGGAUUAGAUACCCUGGUAGUCCACGCAGUAAACGAUGAAUACUAACUGUUUGCGAUACAAUGUAAGCGGUACAGCGAAAGCGUUAAGUAUUCCACCUGGGGAGUACGCCGG
rnacentral:rRNA from 1 species